GACGAACGCUGGCGGCGUGCCUAACACAUGCAAGUCGAGCGAAGCACUUACUUUAGAUUUCUUCGGAAUGACGAAGUUUGUGACUGAGCGGCGGACGGGUGAGUAACGCGUGGGCAACCUGCCCUGUACAGGGGGAUAACAGUUAGAAAUGACUGCUAAUACCGCAUAAGCCCACAGCUUCGCAUGAAGCAGUGGGAAAAACUCCGGUGGUACAGGAUGGGCCCGCGUCUGAUUAGCUAGUUGGUAAGGUAACGGCUUACCAAGGCGACGAUCAGUAGCCGACCUGAGAGGGUGACCGGCCACAUUGGGACUGAGACACGGCCCAAACUCCUACGGGAGGCAGCAGUGGGGAAUAUUGCACAAUGGGGGAAACCCUGAUGCAGCGACGCCGCGUGAGCGAUGAAGUAUUUCGGUAUGUAAAGCUCUAUCAGCAGGGAAGAAAGUGACGGUACCUGACUAAGAAGCCCCGGCUAACUACGUG
rnacentral:rRNA from 1 species